CCAAUAGCGUAUAUUAAAGUUGUUGCAGUUAAAAAGCUCGUAGUUGAAUUUCGGGACCAAUAUGUCGGUCGUGCUUCGGUACGUACUUGCAUUAUUGGUUUCUCCCUUCUGAAGAACCAUGAUGUCAUUAAUUUGGUGUCUUGGGGAAUCAGGACUGUUACUUUGAAAAAAUUAGAGUGUUUAAAGCAGGCUCACGCUUGAAUACAUUAGCAUGGAAUAAUGAAAUAGGACGUUUGAUUCUAUUUUGUUGGUUUCUAGGAUCGACGUAAUGAUUAAUAGGGAUAGUUGGGGGCAUUAGUAUUCAAUUGUCAGAGGUGAAAUUCUUGGAUUUAUUGAAGACUAACUACUGCGAAAGCAUUUGCCAAGGAUGUUUUCAUUAAUCAAGAACGAAAGUUAGGGGAUCGAAGACGAUCAGAUACCGUCGUAGUCUUAACCAUAAACUAUGCCGACUAGGGAUCGGAUGAUGUUAUUUUUGAUGACUCAUUCGGCGCCUUACG
rnacentral:rRNA from 1 species